rnacentral:rRNA from 1 species
UACGUAGGGCGCAAGCGUUAUCCGGAAUUAUUGGGCGUAAAGCGCUCGCAGGUGGUUCAUUGCGUCGUGCGUGAAAGACCCCGGCUCAACUGGGGAGGGUCGUGCGAAACGGGUGAACUAGAGGCCAGUAGGGGGAUGCGGAAUUCCGGGUGUAGUGGUGGAAUGCGUAGAGAUCCGGAGGAACACCAGCGGCGAAGGCGGCAUCCUGGACUGGUCCUGACACUCAGGAGCGAAAGCGUGGGGAGCGAUCCGG